GCAGCAGCCGCGGUAAUACGGAGGGGGCAAGCGUUGUUCGGAUUUACUGGGCGUAAAGGGUGUGUAGGCGGUUGCGUCAGUCUGGUGUGAAAUCUUCACCGCUCAACGGGAAGGAGCCACUGGAAACUGCGCAACUCGAGUAUGGUAGAGGCUAGCGGAAUUCCUGGUGUAGCGGUGGAAUGUGUAGAUAUCAGGAAGAACAUCUGUGGCGAAGGCGGCUAGCUGGGCCAUCACUGACGCUGAGACACGAAAGCGUGGGGAGCGAACGGGAUUAGAUACCCCGGUAGUCCACGCUGUAAACGGUGCGCACUAGGUGUGAGGGGUAUCGACCCCCCUUGUGCCGAAGUUAACACAUUAAGUGCGCCGCCUGGGGAGUACGGCCGCAAGGUUGAAACUCAAAGGAAUUGACGGGGGCCCGCACAAGC
rnacentral:rRNA from 1 species